rnacentral:rRNA from 1 species
UACGGAGGGUGCAAGCGUUAUCCGGAUUUACUGGGUUUAAAGGGUCCGCAGGCGGGACGGUAAGUCAGUGGUGAAAGCCUGAAGCUUAACUUCAGAACUGCCAUUGAUACUGCCAUUCUUGAGAAUAGUUGAGGUAGGCGGAAUACAGCAUGUAGCGGUGAAAUGCGUAGAUAUGCUGUAGAACACCGAUUGCGAAGGCAGCUUACUAAGCUAUAUCUGACGCUAAGGGACGAAAGCGUGGGGAGCGAACAGG